rnacentral:lncRNA from 1 species
UCGGCGAACACUACUCAGAAAUUGAAAGGUAAGAGUACAGUUUCAGUUGCCAAAAAACCACCUCAGAGUAAGGGCAUCUGCCCGAAUCUAGGGCCUAGCUCUUCAAAGUCUCCUGGCCGUACCCCACUGUCCAUUGUGACUGUUCCCCAAUCUGCUGCCAAGUCAGAAACCGUCUCAAAGUCAGCAAAGACUGCCAUGAAGGGCCAGUACUCAGCCAAAGGGCCUCCCAAAAGCAGCAAGGCACCAGCUUCCUCCCAGAACCCACCCUCGUCUGGUAAGGGAGCAGACAGUGGAAAUAAAACACCUACUGCCAAGAAAAAGGAAGAGGAUGACCAUUAUUUUGUUAUGACUGGAAAUAAGAAGCUUAGAAAAUAAAUAUAUCUUUAUCGUUUCAACAAAUCAAGGCUAUCAGUGAACAGGGAUCCACAGGAUCCCCAAAGAUCUCCUGUCAGUCUGCCUGUCAGUCAGUCUGUCAGUCAGUCUGUCUGUCUGUCUGGAGAGCUGCAGACAUGAGGUCGAGAUGGGACAAAGCUGGGUCAGGAAGGGACGGAGUCACGUGCAUUUUGUAUGCUAAUGGACAAAUGUGUAAGUUUUGAUUUGUUUCGUCUUGUUACUGUCUGCUGUUUGAGGGAAAUGUAGAAGUCCGACAACACUACUAGAAUUUUAACUACCGGUGGUCUAAUUUUGAAUAGGUGUUAACUGUCGAGAUUAUCUGCUAAUGGCCACUCUGAUGCUCUUAAACACUAGCUACUGCGCUCAGUCACAAAGCCGUGGUCUGCUUGGCGUUGGUGUGUACCUAGAGUUCCAGCUCUGAAGGCUGGGCAGGCGUACAUAGUAAAACCUAGCAAGGUUCCGAAAUGCGCGGGUAAUAGCUACCUAAGGUAAUUCGUUGGUCUAGCAGUCCUAAGUACCAAUGACCCCUGCUGCUUAGUUUGAUAUUACUCUAAAUUAAAUGGAAUCCUUUUUAUUUAAAUCUCUAUAACCUUUCCAUAUCAGAAGGGACUUUUUUUUCUAAAUUAAACUGGGCUUUUAUUAAUAUUGGUAUCAUUUUAUAACCAAUAUUUUUGAUAAGAA